CUUUAAUGGAACUUUAUCUUUAGCCGGUCGUGACCAAGAAACCACCGGUUUAUCCAAUCACCAAACAGACAGCGUGUAUGCCUGAUCCACAUAAAGAUUGGUCAUCCUUGGCCUUUGUAUUUGUUGCAUCUAUUAAUGAAUAUAAACUUGUCGCCACUUGUCCUGAUGGAAACAUUAUAGCCAUCAUUAUGAAGGUUGUGAAGUACUUACCCUCGGGAAUGAUAAAUUAUGCAUACCUCUCCCAUUUCCCAAAUUGUUUCAUGAUCUUAACGUGGAGGAAGAGAAGAUAUCAAGCGAAGUUUCUGGUGGCACUGUUCACUAUAUAAGAGUAAAUAAGGGUGGAUCUAAUGUAUGCAAAGAGAUAGUAUCUCUUGAUUUACAGAGCGAGACUUUUACAACCGCUGCUUUGCCACAAGUUUUGUUUUCAAACUGGAGUAAAAUUUGGCCUCUAAAUUGGAAUGGGUUCUUGGAUUUGCUCAUAUGGUACAAGGAAAUCUUAAUAUCUUGGGAUUACAAGAGACUCAAAUGGGAUAAUAGAGAGAUAGUGCUUCCAUUUUCUGCACUGGUGAAGAUGAAACCAGAGUUCUUUGGAGAUCUUCUUCUCGUCAGUGCUGAAUACGGGACCCCACAAUUCAAAAGGAAGAUGGUUUAUGUUGGCUCAGUUAGCUUGGCAACUUUGAGAGGAAUUGAACAUCAUCAAAGGGCUUCAAGAGUAUAAUGAAAGCAGGUUCUAUAGAUCAUUGAUCAGCUUUUAUUUUCUAUGUACCUCUCCUUUUUGGUAUUUAUGAGAUAUGGAUCUGAGCUUUUAUGAUAACUAAUCACAGCAAUCUAUACAGAAAUAUUUGUUAGUUUACAAGCAGUUCUCCUUUUCAAUAUUCUUAAAGAAGCAUUUUUAAUUUAUCA